GGUUCCUUAGCUUAAUAGGUAAAGCGUAUUUUUGAUAAAAAUAUUUUCGAGGUUCAAAUCCACGAGGAAUCA
rfam:Exophiala aquamarina CBS 119918 aczIA-supercont1.118, whole genome shotgun sequence.